UGCUGCACUACUCUGGGGACACAGGACCCUGAACUCACAGCGCUGACGAUAUGUCCCAGUGAUAUGAAAUUGCAUGUGAUCUGUUCAAAUGGACAGAAAAAACACACGGACAGAGAAAACACAUAGUCAAACUUGUUCACGGGGGAGCCAGAUACAGCUCAGGAGAAAUACGUUCCAAGUGACAGCAUCUUUGACAACCUGUACUUUUUGUUCUACCUUUUGUUCUUCUUGCUGUGAAAAGCCACGUGAUGAAGAUUGCUGGAGAACAUUGAUACUUUCCCUGCUUAUGUUUAAAAAAAAAGAAAAAAAACCCACAGAAAUAACUGUGUACUUCCCAAAGGGUCAGAUUGAGUCUUCAACAGCAACAUCCACUGAAAGGCUCUGCAUCUCUGAAACAGCCUGGGGAAGGUCUUAUCCUUGUCAGGAUGUAUCAGAACCAAGCAGUAGGGCACUGAACAGUAUUCCUUACUCUAGUGCUAACAAAACUUCUCACUGUAAGCUAAUAAGUCUAUACAGCACCAUGGAAAUGCCUCACGCUGUUUUUGUCUUUGUUCAAUAUUCUUUUUCCUAUUUGCGAAAUGAUAGAGUGAUGUAGAGAAAGGCAUAUUCCAAGAAUAUGGACUGUGCUUCUUA